GCUUACGGCCAUAUCACGCUGAAUACACCGGUUCUCGUCCGAUCACCGAAGUUAAGCAACGUAGAGCCUAGUCAGUACUUGGAUGGGUGACCGCCUGGGAAUACUAGGUGCUGUAAGCA
rnacentral:rRNA from 12 species